UACCCAGGGGAGAGGAGGAAGGGUGGCCUGCCUGGGUCCCUCCUGCAAUUCUCUGCCCCAGCAGCCCUCUCAAGCCUGGUUCUCAGUUUAAGUCAAAUCACUUUGGUCCCCAGUUGCCUCCUGCCUGCCAGGUUCCAACUCAAUCAUUCUUUGAAAUUUGGAGCUGUAGCUAAAACGCUUUUGCCCUGUAACAGGAUUUUCACAGUCUCCACAGCAGCGGCAACGUCACUCAUCACCUGCUGUUGUAAUCUGCACUGCUAAGCCUGGGGCUCCAGGCAGAGAGCUUAACUUGCUUUGCUGAUUCUAGCUCACUCUUCCUGGCACUGGAGCCUCACUUCAGGCGGGAGAGCUAAUCCAGCCUCAACUCCACCUACAUCUCCAAGGAGACACCAGUGGCAGAGGGAGCCCCAACUCCUUCUGGAGGAGGGAGGUCAGAACCAAGCUCCCCCAGACUGGAUGGCCACGAAACAUGGCGCCCUGAGUGGGUCUGUGAGGGCACCGGCUCUGUGCACCUUCCCCUAGGGGAGGUUGGCAGGAGAGAUUAAGUGGCUGAUUUUCCUGACAACUGUUUCAAGGACUGGCCAAGCCUCAGUGUCUGCAUUGAGAGUGACAGCUCUGUUACAGGAAAUACACAUGCAGGCUGAUCCGUCGUCAACUGCUAGCACCUGUGUGUCCUUCUUGUGUGCUCCCUCUGCCCGCAGAGUCCACUGUGCUGCCCACUCGCAAGCAGGAAGUAUCAGGGAAUCGUUCGCACUGGGAGCUACCCUCAGCUGAUGGAACCAGUGUACAGAUGUCCCAGUUCCUUUCUCCCUUGGAUGGCAUCACACUGAGACCAGCGUUCCCCACUGUUUCCUAAGGCCCCAACAGGACUAAGCUCUGGUUUUCCAUAGCAGAAACUUGCUUAGUAACCUCAAUACUGAAUACCUCACUGGCCGCCUUCCCUCUUCUGUGUCUCUUCCCCACCUCCCUCCUGGGAGUUCCUGAUGUCACCUCCAGAAUGAAUGACUUGCACUUGG